CUUUGAAUUAACCUAUAUAAAGUAAAUAGAUGCAAAACAAUUCAUUAACAUUCCUUGAGUAAACAUGAUUUCAUCAAAUAAGGAUAAUGUGUUCUUGGAGACUGCUGAAUUGGCAUGUUUCUAAUGCUUUGAAUGAACAUGAUUAAAUUGUGUCUGGGGUGGCCUCCAGUCCUGAGGUGGCGCUAGUGCACCACUUUCUAAGACAAGAAGAAGCCGGAAAGUUUCAAGCCAGAGAGCCGUUCGCCUCAGUCACAGCCCGGUCCUACUCUUCAGUCUCAUCUCGCUGGAAUAGUGUUGUCAUGUGUGAAGAUAUACACGAAAUUGAGACUUCUGCUGCACUGUUCGAAGUCUGUAAGAUCAGUGCUGAAUUCAAAAGAAUGACCACAGUUCCCCUGCAAUCCAAGCAACUGACGCUGAAUUGGCUGAUUUGUACAAGAUGCACCAUUUCUGAGGACUUCUGGCACAGUGGCCUGCACUGUUCAAAGUUUGCAAGGUAAGACAUUCAAUUCGGAUUGUCUUAAAUGUUUUGAUUUGUGAAUUACAGCAUUUUAUCUCCUUUCUUGAAUGUGUGUGUGGCUUUCUCCUAAUGUUAAUGAUUUGAUUGUUAAAUCCUUUGGGCUCUUUAUGUCUUUUCAGAUCAGUGGUGAAUUGAAAAGAAUCACCACAGUUCCACUGCAAUGCCCUGCAAUGUUCCAAGUCCACAAGGUAAAGCAUUCACUUUGGCCACAACCCUACCCAGUGCACCUUAACAACUUGACUCCUGCUUUAAAUUAGCUGUUACCUGAAAGGGGGUGACUAAAUAUUCCAGUGGUAGAAGGAGCUGCUUCUCGAAUUUUUAUAUUUAAAUUUUGUCGUACUCUGACCAGUGAAUAUUAGAUUGUUGCUUAGUACUAGAAUUGGAGUUAUCUGAGACAAGAUGAUCUGAUCUGAGAAGUGUUGAUGACUACCUCCCUGGUGUUCCCACACUCAGUGUGGAGUGUGACACUAGUUAGUUUGUAUGCAUUGUGCUAUGCUCAACAUGACAUUGAGAGGCUUCAGUUGAAAGUGAGCAAGCUAUCCCACGGUUUCCUUAUUCCAAUACACUUACUAUACAAUGCAUGUGCAGCUAAACAAAAAGAAAUAUUAAUAUAUUCUAUGUAGAAACAAAAUGAGCACUACUAUGAAGUGUAUAAUAUCUCAGAGCACUUUGUUGACACAUGUUUUUCUCUCUGAUGGGGGACUGUGUUACGCUUUUCAUUAUAUUGCCCAUUGUAUGUCUGCCUAGAAUAUUGCAUGUUUUAUUUUUAAUCACUUAAGUUAUCAGGGAAACUUAUUGAGAUGGGGAAAACUGUAAUAACUUCUUAUUUCAGCCCCUUGACAGAUAAGCCCUGCAUGCCAUAUUACUGCACGCAUGCACAAACGCCAGAGAGGUUCUCAAUUCAUCUCAGAUCAGAGAAUAUCAGAGAGCAGAGAAAUGCAGUAGACUUUUCCUUCAAAGUCUCCUCGCAAGGAACAGUAUAUAUCGUACCUGUAUAUGCAUAAUGAAACUUGUUCUCUUAAUUGAGACGAACUGAUCCUUACAUCUCUGUGCUCUGAAACACCUUAAAUAGAGGAUUGUCAUCACUGGUUGUCUACUACAAGCCCCUUGUAGGUCCCAGCCAAGGACACAGUAGACCUGGGGUGUUGUCAUGAGAGUGAACUUUUUUCAUUGGCCUGGGCCCACUGGUAUUCCUGUGACACACCAAGUUUCAUGUCAAAGUCUUGUCAUGUUUUGCAAUGAUCUUGCAGGCCAUAUAAAAUUACUUCAUGGGUCACAAUUGGCCCUGGGUUUGAGUUUGACAUCCCUGCAGAAUGAAGGCAACUACACAGCUUUGGCUCUGGUAUUUGACAACCUCAGGCCAAUUCACACCAGCGUUAAAUCAUCAUCCAGGUCCCACAUCAGAAUUACAACUGAGAAUCUUGACAGUGGAACAGAGGACAUGCUUUGGACUUUGCACUAACCUACUGCCCAGCUUAAUGUUGAUUUAUUUGUUAAUUCAAAUGGCUUGGUUAAUUUGUGUUCAUUUACUUUUGUCUGUGUUGAAUAGGUCAUGGAUGAAGUUGCCGUAGACGAAGCAAUUGAAGACAUCACUAUUGGAAUCUGCUCUGACAGAAGAUUGGGCAUCCCACCCUUAGGACAUUGUCAGUUUUAGUGUAUGUCUGUCACACACGUGACACCCAAUCGGAAAGGACUCUUUUUUUCAGCAACUAAAAAACAGCAGUUAUUUUUGUUUCUUUAAGUGAAAUGUACCUUUUUUCUAGAGAUCAAUUUGCUUGUAUGCACUUCCAGCUCCUUGCUGGUUUAAGAAUAGUACUUGAGUGUGCAUAUGUUGUGUACAUACUGUGUUGAUUUUGACCCAAACUAAAGACAAACAAAAUACCAAGACUAGACUUAAAUAAGACUGGGUAAUAACACAAAUGUGGUCCACAAAGAGGACAACCAAAUGAAUGGUGGACUGCCAGAUGCACGCGCACAUGCAUACAGUAUACGCGCAUGAACGCACACACGCACACCUACAAGUGUGGACUAAUGCACUUAGUCAAUGAGCUAAAAGAACUGUAUGUAGAGUGAAUUUUAUUUGUGUCCGAUGUGUGCACAUGGAUGCUAAUCCAGCCAGAGAGCACUUUUUCACAGCAACCAAACAAAUUAUUUUCUUAAAGGUGCACUGUGUAGGAUUGUGACCAGAGUAGGCAACUAUGCUGCACAUUGAAACGGUGCUGCCUAUUACCAACUGUGUCCUUUUCUUUUCAUGAAUAUUUACUUAGUAAUAAACGAAAAUGUGUUAGUAUGACCAAAGUUCAGUAAGUUUACUAAAAAUCUGUAUUUCUAGAAAUUCAAAAUGACAGCCAGUGGAGAAGAUUCCUCUCUUUCCUCCUCCCCCUUUCAUGUAUGGAAAGAGCAAUUUCCCCAGUCAUAACGACAACUUAAAGUUUGGUGGUGGUAAAUAUUCAUGAAAAAUGCAACAUUUGUGCAUGGGCAGCAUGAAAUCUCAAAAUAAACUACUGAAAAUAAUACACAGUGCACCUUUAAAGCGAAUUGGACAUUCUUUUUGUUCACAGACUCUGCUCGUUGUAUUUCCUGCUCGUUGAUUGGUCCAAGAGUAGCAGUUAUUUGUGACUGUCCUUAUGUUUUGUAUAUCUGUGUGCAUUUUACAUGCGUACAGUGAAAGUCAAUACAUUUAAUCACAGAAUUCUUACUCCUUUUUUUGUUUUUGUUUGCACAUGCCUGUACAUCAAAUUGUGAUCUGCAAUGCAUUUGUAUAGCCUAGACCUAAUAUUUUUACCAUAUUUUUUAUUUAUUUAUUUAUUUAUUUUUUUUUGGGGGGGGGGGUUGGAUUGAGACUAAAGAAUCAUGUUACUGAAAUGUAGCUGUAUGCAUGAUUCCAUCACCUUCAAUAAACAUGAAAAAAAUACUUUCAAACUAUGUCAAAGUUUUGUGUUCUUCCAACAUAUUUUCUGGUUAAUGGAAUACCAAUUAAUUGUUUAGGAUUAAAGUGAUUUCAUCACCUCUGAUUUAGGUGAAAAAAAACAUUUUGUGACAAUUUAAAAAAAUCACAUUGUUCCAACACAUUUUUAUGAGGCUGGAACAUGAAUAAGUUGUGUUAGGUUGAGGUGAUCCAAUCACCUCCGUUUAAGGUGAUAAAAUCACUUAAACCUUACACAAUAAAUAUAGGGGAAGAAAUCAUGUUGACCUUACACAAUUGGAUUGUGUG